UGCCGGGUCGUCUAAUGGUAGGACAGGAGCCUUUGAAGCUUCUAAUCGGGGUUCGAUCCCCUGCCCGGCAG
rnacentral:tRNA from 1 species